GUGGGGAAUAUUGGACAAUGGGCGAAAGCCUGAUCCAGCCAUGCCGCGUGUGUGAAGAAGGUCUUCGGAUUGUAAAGCACUUUAAGUUGGGAGGAAGGGCAGUAAGCUAAUACCUUGCUGUUUUGACGUUACCGACAGAAUAAGCACCGGCUAACUUCGUGCCAGCAGCCGCGGUAAUACGAAGGGUGCAAGCGUUAAUCGGAAUUACUGGGCGUAAAGCGCGCGUAGGUGGUUCAGCAAGUUGGAGGUGAAAUCCCCGGGCUCAACCUGGGAACUGCCUCCAAAACUACAUGACUAGAGUACGGUAGAGGGUAGUGGAAUUUCCUGUGUAGCGGUGAAAUGCGUAGAUAUAGGAAGGAACACCAGUGGCGAAGGCGACAACCUGGACUGAUACUGACACUGAGGUGCGAAAGCGUGGGGAGCAAACAGGAUUAGAAACCCUUGUAGUCC
rnacentral:rRNA from 1 species